UUAGCUUCAUGUUGUCAGGUUGAUCC
rnacentral:piRNA from 1 species